rnacentral:rRNA from 1 species
GACGGAGGGUGCAAGCGUUGUUCGGAAUCACUGGGCGUAAAGCGCGUGUAGGCGGUUUGAUAAGGCGAAUGUGAAAGCCCGAGGCUCAACCUCGGAAGUGCAUUCGAAACUGUCAGGCUUGAGUACGGGAGAGGGAAGUGGAAUUCCUGGUGUAGAGGUGAAAUUCGUAGAUAUCAGGAGGAACACCGGUGGCGAAGGCGGCUUCCUGGACCGAUACUGACGCUGAGACGCGAAAGCGUGGGGAGCAAACAGG